CAGGCUAUAGCUUAUAAAAAGUUUAUUAGUUACAUUAAUGGGAAAAUCAUUAAAGAUUUAGUUUGA
rnacentral:tRNA from 1 species